ACGGGAGGCAGCAGUGGGGAAUAUUGCACAAUGGGGGAAACCCUGAUGCAGCGACGCCGCGUGAACGAUGAAGUAUUUCGGUAUGUAAAGCUCUAUCAGCAGGGAAGAAAUAACGACCUCUGGUCGCUAGACGGUACCUGACUAAGAAGCCCCGGCUAACUACGUGCCAGCAGCCGCGGUAAUACGUAGGGGGCAAGCGUUAUCCGGAUUUACUGGGUGUAAAGGGAGCGUAGACGGCAAUGCAAGUCUGAAGUGAAAUCCCGGGGCUCAACCCCGGAACUGCUUUGGAAACUGUAUAGCUGGAGUGCAGGAGAGGUAAGCGGAAUUCCUAGUGUAGCGGUGAAAUGCGUAGAUAUUAGGAGGAACACCAGUGGCGAAGGCGGCUUACUGGACUGUAACUGACGUUGAGGCUCGAAAGCGUGGGGAGCAAACAGGAUUAGAUACCCUGGUA
rnacentral:rRNA from 1 species